rnacentral:piRNA from 2 species
AUGUGCUUGGCUGAGGAGCCAAU